rnacentral:ncRNA from 1 species
UCCCUGCUUUUCCUCCCUGAGCAGGAGCCUGGUCGUGACAGCGAUAGGGCUUUGCAACCCCGGCAUUGCGUCCGGGGUUUUUCUUU